AUGGUUCGCCAUCUCUUCAUCGGUUGCCACAUGGUUUGGAAGGAUGGUUUCUAAAUCUCCUUGAUAUGAUUGGAAUUUCCAGGAAAAUCUCAGUGCUGCCUCUUCAAGUUGGGGGAGAGGUCUCUUUAAAGAGGGGUGGGAUUCCUUUUGAGAAUGCUUCUGAUGGCCCUUUUGAUGGAAGUUUAGAAGGAGAAAACAACCAGAAUUUAGUGAUAAGGUCCCUUCGGUAAAAAUUAACGAAUGGUGAAGCAUCUCAUCCCAUCUUUGUGCUGUGUUGGAGUUGGCCAUUAGGAGGGUGGUGGGAGCUUAAUUCCAAUGGUUCCUCUCAAGGUAACCCUGCCCCCCAUGAUUUGGGCGGUGUAUUACUUGAUGAUAAGGACAACAUACCUUUCAAUCGAAAAAGGAAAAAAUAAGAAGAAGAAGAAGAAGAAGAAGAAGAAA